rnacentral:rRNA from 1 species
UAAUGUAUGGGGAUCUGCCCGAUAGAGGGGAUAAUACUGGAAACGGUGGCUAAUACCGCAUAAUGUCUACGGACCAAAGCAGGGGCUCUUCGGACCUUGCACUAUCGGAUGAACCCAUAUGGGAUUAGCUAGUAGGUGGGGUAAAGGCUCACCUAGGCGACGAUCUCUAGCUGGUCUGAGAGGAUGAUCAGCCACACUGGGACUGAGACACGGCCCAG